rnacentral:lncRNA from 1 species
UCAUGAAAUUUAGCCAUUCAAUCCCCCAAAAACCCUAGAACCCGAAGCUAAAAUUGGGGCUUUUGUGAUUUCUUCUUUCCAAGCUCAAAUCAAGGCUAUGGGUUUGGCAAGGAUUUUUGGUGAAGAAGGCCAAGGAGAAGGAAUAUGACGUGAUUUUUGAAGAAGAAAGGGAAACACGAUCGUUAAGGAAGCUUAAGCGGAAAGCAUCAGAGUGUGGAGUACGCCGGCAUUUU